GACGAACGCUGGCGGCGUGCCUAAUACAUGCAAGUAGAACGCAGUUGCGAACGGGUGAGUAACGCGUAGGUAACCUGCCUCAUAGCGGGGGAUAACUAUUGGAAACGAUAGCUAAUACCGCAUACUGUGAGAUGGACCUGUGUUGUAUUAGCUAGUUGGUGAGGUAAAGGCUCACCAAGGCGACGAUACAUAGCCGACCUGAGAGGUGGCUCGGCGACACGGGAACUGAGACACGGCCCAGACUCCUACGGGAGGCAGCAGUGGGGAAUAGUGCACAAUGGGCGCAAGCCUGAUGCAGCCAUGCCGCGUGUAUGAAGAAGGCAUUCGGGUUGUAAAGUACUUUCAGCGGGGAGGCGUUACCCGCAGAAGAAGCACCGGCUAACUCCGUGCCAGCAGCCGCGGUAAUAC
rnacentral:rRNA from 1 species